CGCUGGCGGCAUGCCUAACACAUGUAAGUCGAACGGUAACAUGUCUUCGGAUGCUGACGAGUGGCGGACGGGUGAGUAAUGCGUAGGAAUCUGUCUUUGAGUGGGGGACAACCCAGGGAAACUUGGGCUAAUACCGCAUAAGCCCUGAGGGGGAAAGCGGGGGAUCUUCGGACCUCGCGCUGGAAGAGGAGCCUACGUCUGAUUAGCUAGUUGGUAGGGUAAAGGCCUACCAAGGCGACGAUCGGUAGCUGGUCUGAGAGGACGACCAGCCACACUGGGACUGAGACACGGCCCAGACUCCUACGGGAGGCAGCAGUGGGGAAUUUUUCGCAAUGGGGGCAACCCUGACGAAGCAAUGCCGCGUGAAUGAAGAAGGCCUUCGGGUUGUAAAGUUCUUUCGUGGAGGACGAAAAGGUGGGUGCUAAUAUCGCCUGCUGUUGACGUGAAUCCAAGAAGAAGCACCGGCUAACUCCGUGCCAGCAGCCGCGGUAAUACGGGGGGUGCAAGCGUUAAUCGGAAUCACUGGGCGUAAAGGGUGCGUAGGCGGUGUAUUAGGUCUGUCGUGAAAUCCCCGGGCUCAACCUGGGAAUGGCGGUGGAAACCGGUGUACUAGUGUAUGGGAGAGGGUGGUG
rnacentral:rRNA from 1 species